UUGAACGCUGGCGGCAUGCCUUACACAUGCAAGUCGAACGGCAGCACGGGAGCAAUCCUGGUGGCGAGUGGCGAACGGGUGAGUAAUACAUCGGAACGUGCCCAAUCGUGGGGGAUAACGCAGCGAAAGCUGUGCUAAUACCGCAUACGAUCUACGGAUGAAAGCAGGGGAUCGCAAGACCUUGCGCGAAUGGAGCGGCCGAUGGCAGAUUAGGUAGUUGGUGAGGUAAAGGCUCACCAAGCCUUCGAUCUGUAGCUGGUCUGAGAGGACGACCAGCCACACUGGGACUGAGACACGGCCCAGACUCCUACGGGAGGCAGCAGUGGGGAAUUUUGGACAAUGGGCGAAAGCCUGAUCCAGCCAUGCCGCGUGCAGGAUGAAGGCCUUCGGGUUGUAAAGCUCUUUCAGCCGGAACGAAACGGUACGCUCUAACAUAGCGUGCUAAUGACGGUACCGGCAGAAGAAGCACCGGCUAACUACGU
rnacentral:rRNA from 1 species